AUUGAACGCUGGCGGCAUGCCUUACACAUGCAAGUCGAACGGCAGCACGGGAGCAAUCCUGGUGGCGAGUGGCGAACGGGUGAGUAAUAUAUCGGAACGUGCCCAGUCGUGGGGGAUAACGCAGCGAAAGCUGUGCUAAUACCGCAUACGAUCUACAGAUGAAAGCGGGGGAUCGCAAGACCUCGCGCGAUUGGAGCGGCCGAUAUCAGAUUAGCUAGUUGGUGGGGUAAAGGCCCACCAAGGCGACGAUCUGUAGCUGGUCUGAGAGGACGACCAGCCACACUGGAACUGAGACACGGUCCAGACUCCUACGGGAGGCAGCAGUGGGGAAUUUUGGACAAUGGGCGCAAGCCUGAUUCAGCAAUGCCGCGUGCAGGAUGAAGGCCUUCGGGCUGUAAACUGCUUUUGUACGGAACGAAACGGCCCUUUCUAAUACAGGGGGCUAAUGACGGUACCGUAAGAAUAAGCACCGGCUAACUACGUGCCAGCCGCCGCCGUAAGAC
rnacentral:rRNA from 1 species